rnacentral:lncRNA from 1 species
CUAACACGAUCGGGGUUGUUAUGGGGACCCCCUUGAUAAUUCGUUUUAGAUUAAAGCUGGUCUGGCAAGGCCCAACUUUGGUACUACAUUUUCCUAAUAACCUAAUAAUAAUGCAUAGGGACCCGUCGGCACCCGCGGACUAUUUUAAUCAACCCCCGGGCCAGUGCUCCUCAUGAGUGUUGGUCCAAAACAGAGCAGCUUAUUAACGCUACCCGGGGCAACUCGGCGUUUGGCGUGGUAACCAUCGCUCAUCCGUCAUGUCCUGAGAAC